UCCUACGGGGCGCAGCAGUGGGGAAUAUUGCGCAAUGGGCGAAAGCCUGACGCAGCGACGCCGCGUGAGGGAUGAAGGUCUUCUGAUCGUAAACCUCUGUCAGCAGGGAAGAGUAGAAGACGGUACCUCUUGAAUAAGCCACGGCUAACUACGUGCCAGCAGCCGCGGUAAUACGUAGGUGGCAAGCGUUGUCCGGAUUUACUGGGUGUAAAGGGCGUGCAGCCGGGCUGACAAGUCAGAUGUGAAAUCCCGCGACUCAACCGCGGAACUGCAUUUGA
rnacentral:rRNA from 1 species